rnacentral:rRNA from 1 species
AACCAACUGGGGAUUACCUUAGUAACGGCGAGUGAAGCGGUAAAAGCUCAAAUUUGAAAUCUGGUACUUUCAGUGCCCGAGUUGUAAUUUGUAGAAUUUGUCUUUGAUUAGGUCCUUGUCUAUGUUCCUUGGAACAGGACGUCAUAGAGGGUGAGAAUCCCGUUUGGCGAGGAUACCUUUUCUCUGUAAGACUUUUUCGAAGAGUCGAGUUGUUUGGGAAUGCAGCUCAAAGUGGGUGGUAAAUUCCAUCUAAAGCUAAAUAUUGGCGAGAGACCGAUAGCGAACAAGUACAGUGAUGGAAAGAUGAAAAGAACUUUGAAAAGAGAGUGAAAAAGUACGUGAAAUUGUUGAAAGGGAAGGGCAUUUGAUCAGACAUGGUGUUUUUGCAUGCACUCGCCUCUCGUGGGCUUGGGCCUCUCAAAAAUUUCACUGGGCCAACAUCAGUUCUGGCAGCAGGAUAAAUCAUUAAGAAUGUAGCUACUCGGUAUGUUAUAGCUUAUGGAAUACUGCU